rnacentral:rRNA from 1 species
ACGGAAGGUCCAGGCGUUAUCCGGAAUUAUUGGGUUUAAAGGGAGCGCAGGUGGUUUGAAAAGCUUGCCGUGAAAUGUCUCCGCUUAACGGAGGAAUUGCGGUGAGAACUGUCAGACUUGAAUCAGUGGAGCGUACAUGGAAUUUGUGGUGUAGCGGUGAAAUGCUUAGAUAUCACGAAGAACCCCGAAAGCGAAGGCAUUGUACGUCCGCUUAAUUGACACUGAGGCUCGAAGGUGCGGUUAUCGAACAGG